rnacentral:rRNA from 1 species
AACGAACGCUGGCGGCAUGCCUAACACAUGCAAGUCGAACGAGACCUUCGGGUCUAGUGGCGCACGGGGGCGUAACGCGUGGGAAUCUGCCCUUGGGUUCGGAAUAACUCAGAGAAAUUUGAGCUAAUACCGGAUGAUGACGAAAGUCCAAAGAUUUAUCGGCCAAGGAUGAGCCCGCGUAAGAUUAGCUUGUUGGUGGGGUAAGAGCCUACCAAGGCGUCGAACUUUAGCUGGUCUGAGGGGAUGAUCAGCCACACUGGGACUGAGACACGGCCCAGACUCCUACGGGAGGCAGCAGUGGGGAAUAUUGGAAAAUGGGCGAAAGGCUGAUCCAGCAAUGCCGCGUGAGUGAUGAAGGCCUUAGGGAUGUAAAGCUCUUUUACCAGGGAUGAUAAUGACAGUACCUGGAGAAUAAGCCCCGGCUAACUCCGUGCCAGCCGCCGCGGUAACAC